AACGAACGCUGGCGGCGUGCUUAACACAUGCAAGUCGAACGAGAAAUCCUGAGCAAUCGGGAGAGUAUAGUGGCGCACGGGUGAGUAACGCGUGGGUAACCUGCCCUUGGAUUGGGGAUAACUUCGCGAAAGCGGGGCUAAUACCGAAUAAUAUGCUGACUCCCAAGGGAGUCGGCAUCAAAAGUGGCCUCUGCAUGCAAGCUAUUGUCUAAGGAUGGGCCCGCGUACCAUUAGCUAGUUGGUAGGGUAACGGCAUACCAAGGCUACGAUGGUUAGCGGGUCUGGGAGGGCAGACGGACACACUGGAACUGAGACACGGUCCAGACUCCUACGGGAGGCAGCAGUGGGGAAUCUUGCGCAAUGGGGGAAACCCUGACGCAGCGACGCCGCGUGGGUGAUGAAGGCCUUCGGGUCGUAAAGCCCUGUCAGGUGGGAAGAAACAUAUCGGUGCUAAUAUCAUCGAUAAUUGACGGUACCACCGGAGGAAGCACCGGCUAACUCCGUGCCAGCCGCCGUAGUAACAC
rnacentral:rRNA from 1 species